rnacentral:lncRNA from 1 species
AUGUCGGCCGGCGAGGUCGAGCGCCUAGUGUCGGAGCUGAGCGGCGGGACCGGAGGGGAUGAGGAGGAAGAGUGGCUCUAUGGCGGCCCAUGGGACGUGCAUGUGCACACUGAUUUGGCAAAGGACCUAGAUGAAAAUGAAGUUGAAAGGCCAGAAGAAGAAAAUGCCAGUGCGAAUCCUCCAUCUGGAAUUGAAGACGAAACUCCUGAAAAUGGCGUACCUAAACCGAAAGUGACUGAGACUGAAGAUGAUAGUGAUAGCGACAGUGAUGAUGAUGAGGACGAUGUUCAUGUCACUAUAGGAGACAUUAAAACGGGAGCACCACAGUAUGGGAGUUAUGGUACAGCACCUGUAAAUCUUAACAUCAAGACAGGAGGAAGAGUUUAUGGAACUACCGUAGGAACGAAAGUGAAAGGAGUAGAUCUGGAUGCGCCUGGAAGCAUUAAUGGAGUUCCGCUCUUGGAGGUGGAUUUGGAUUCUUUUGAAGAUAAACCAUGGCGUAAACCUGGUGCUGAUCUUUCUGAUUAUUUUAAUUAUGGGUUUAAUGAAGAUACCUGGAAGGCUUACUGUGAAAAACAGAAGAGGAUACGAAUGGGGCUUGAAGUUAUACCAGUUACCUCUACUACAAAUAAAAUUACGGCCGAAGACUGUACUAUGGAAGUUACACCAGGUGCAGAGAUCCAAGAUGGCAGAUUCAAUCUUUUUAAGGUACAGCAGGGAAGAACUGGAAAUGCAGAAAAGGAAACAGCGCUUCCAUCUACAAAAGCGGAGUUUACUUCUCCUCCUUCUUUGUUCAAGACUGGACUUCCACCAAGCAGGAGAUUACCUGGGGCAAUUGAUGUUAUUGGUCAGACUAUAACUAUCAGCCGAGUAGAAGGAAGGCGACGGGCAAAUGAAAACAGCAAUAUACAGGUCCUUUCUGAAAGAUCUGCCACUGAAGUAGACAACAAUUUUAGCAAACCACCUCCAUUUUUCCCUCCAGGAGCUCCUCCAACUCACCUUCCACCUCCUCCAUUUCUUCCGCCUCCUCCGACUGUCAGCACUGCUCCACCUCUGAUUCCACCACCAGUUGCCUUUCCCCACCUUCCUGGUUCUACUCCUUCAUGGCCUAGUCUUGUGGACACCAGCAAGCAAUGGGACUAUUACUCAAGGAGAGAGAAAGACCGAGACCGAGAGAGAGACCGAGACCGAGAGCGAGACCGUGAUCGAGACAGAGAACGAGAACGCACCAGAGAGAGGGAGAGGGAGCGUGAUCACAGUCCCACGCCGAGCGUCUUCAACAGUGAUGAAGAACGAUACAGAUACAGGGAGUAUGCAGAAAGAGGCUAUGAGCGCCACAGAGCAAGUCGGGAGAAAGAAGAACGACACAGAGAAAGACGACACAGAGAGAAAGAGGAAACCAGACACAAGUCCUCUCGAAGCAAUAGUAGACGUCGCCAUGAAAGUGAAGAAGGAGACAGUCAUAGGAGACACAAGCACAAAAAAUCUAAAAGAAGCAAAGAAGGAAAAGAAGCUGGCAGUGAGCCUGCCCCUGAACAGGAGAGCACUGAAGCUACACCUGCAGAAUAGGCGUGGUCAUGGCCUUCUGUGUAUAGUAGUGCCAGAAGUAGAUACUGUAAAUCUUGUUAUUUUUCUGGAUAAUGUUUAAGAAACUUGCCUUUCAUCUUGUUCUGUUAGUAUGAAAAGUUAAUUUUCUCUUCCAAAAUAAAAGAGUGAGUUUUUCAUGUUAAG